AAUAGAUACCCUGGUAGUCCACGCCGUAAACGAUGAGUGCUAAGUGUUAGAGGGUUUCCGCCCGUUUAGUGCUGCAGCUAACGCAUUAAGCACUCCGCCUGGGGAGUACGGCCGCAAGGCUGAAACUCAAAGGAAUUGACGGGGGCCCGCACAAGCGGUGGAGCAUGUGGUUUAAUUCGAAGCAACGCGAAGAACCUUACCAGGUCUUGACAUCCUCUGCCAACCCUAGAGAUAGGGCGUUCCCCUUCGGGGGACAGAGUGACAGGUGGUGCAUGGUUGUCGUCAGCUCGUGUCGUGAGAUGUUGGGUUAAGUCCCGCAACGAGCGCAACCCUUGAUCUUAGUUGCCAGCAUUCAGUUGGGCACUCUAAGGUGACUGCCGGUGACAAACCGGAGGAAGGUGGGGAUGACGUCAAAUCAUCAUGCCCCUUAUGACCUGGGCUACACACGUGCUACAAUGGAUGGUACAAAGAGCUGCGAACCCGCGAGGGUAAGCGAAUCUCAUAAAGCCAUUCUCAGUUCGGAUUGU
rnacentral:rRNA from 1 species